rnacentral:rRNA from 1 species
GACAGAGGGUGUAAACGUUGUUCGGAAUUACUGGGCGUAAAGGGCGCGUAGGCGGCUCGACAAGUCCCGCGUGAAAGCCCCCGGCUCAACUGGGGAACUGCGCGGGAAACUGUCGGACUUGAGUUCGGGAGAGGGAAGCGGAAUUCCGGGUGUAGCGGUGAAAUGCGUAGAUAUCCGGAGGAACACCGGUGGCGAAGGCGGCUUCCUGGACCGACACUGACGCUGAGGCGCGAAAGCUAGGGGAGCAAACGGG